AGUUUCUUUCCAGAGUGCUCAAGUCUUGCUAAAGGGAGAUGGUGAUCUCUGUGGAAGCAGCAGGAGGAGGAGGUCCUCCCUGGCUAUGGGCUCUAUCCUGAGUGGGAAGCUCCUGAAGACCUUCCUUGGGAGGAAAGGCAAAUAUCCCCCCUGCCCAAAGCACCGUGCUCUGCACCUGUGCUGAAGAAGGGUGCUUGCUGUGUGCAGGAGUUUUCCAUAAGCUUACAAGGAGUAUGUAUUUUCCCUGGGGUGCUGCAGACCAGAGGUGGAAACCUGCAGCUAAGCACAAAGAGAGAAAUGGCAAGAAAUCACUUCACCGCUGCAAGCUUCCGAGCUCUUCUUUCUUAAGUAGGCGAAAAAGGAAACUUCUAAACUGCCUGUC
ensembl:lncRNA